rnacentral:lncRNA from 1 species
GGGAACUUUUGCAUCUAUUUCCAUGAGAGUGAAUCUUAAGAUGGAGGAGACAGUGGCAAGUCUAACAGUACUCUAGAGAGUCCUGAAUGGAGGAGUGGAAGAAGGGCAGAGCGCUCCUAUCUGCCCAGACCACAAGUGAAGAGGGACAUGCUAUGAUUUGCAUCCCAGAGGAAGAUGCACCAAGAGGGACAAACUCCACUGAGAGGACUUAAAUAUGCUUUUUGCAGUUAGUAAGCUGAAGAACGCGGCGGGACACUAGGUCAAAGUAGGGCCUUUGGUGAUGGAAACGAAGAUGAAUGUUACAGGCAUAAUCAAUGUGGUUUUCUGAUAAAUAUUUUCUCAAGGUGUGUCCCUCAGCUAAUUAGAUGAGUGGGUGAGGAAGAGUGAGAAGUCAGGGAUGAGAUGCAGGCUCAGGCUUGGGAAACCAAGGGAGUAACAAGAGAAGCCAAUGAUUGGACAAUGACGUCAUUCCUUCAGCGGCUUUAUACGUCUGGGAACUGAAAUGCUAGGGAGUGGAAGACUGUAUGGUAAACAUUGUAGGAGUUGAGUCCGUUGCUCCCUUCUUAUCAUUUUUUUCUCAUCACAAAUAACACUUCCCAGUCAAGUAUGUGUCAUUGGGGUGUAUUGUGUGGAAUUUCCAAAUGAUCAAUAAAAACAAUAUGCUGG